rnacentral:rRNA from 1 species
AAUAGGGGAGCCGGAGGGAAACCGAGUCUUAAUUGGGCGUUAAGUUGCAGGGUAUAGACCCGAAACCCGGUGAUCUAGCCAUGGGCAGGUUGAAGGUUGGGUAACACUAACUGGAGGACCGAACCGACUAAUGUUGAAAAAUUAGCGGAUGACCUGUGGCUGGGGGUGAAAGGCCAAUCAAACCGGGAGAUAGCUGGUUCUCCCCGAAAGCUAUUUAGGUAGCGCCUCGUGAAUUCAUCUCCGGGGGUAGAGCACUGUUUCGGCUAGGGGGCCAUCCCGGCUUACCAACCCGAUGCAAACUGCGAAUACCGGAGAAUGUUAUCACGGGAGACACACGGCGGGUGCUAACGUCCGUCGUGAAGAGGGAAACAACCCAGACCGCCAGCUAAGGUCCCAAAGUCAUGGUUAAGUGGGAAACGAUGUGGGAAGGCCCAGACAGCCAGGAUGUUGGCUUAGAAGCAGCCAUCAUUUAAAGAAAGCGUAAUAGCUCACUGGUCGAGUCGGCCUGCGCG